AUACGGAGGGGGCUAGCGUUGUUCGGAAUUACUGGGCGUAAAGCGCGCGUAGGCGGACCAGUCAGUCAGGGGUGAAAUCCCGGGGCUCAACCCCGGAACUGCCUUUGAUACUGCUGGUCUUGAGUUCGAGAGAUGUGAGUGGAAUUCCGAGUGUAGAGGUGAAAUUCGUAGAUAUUCGGAGGAACACCAGUGGCGAAGGCGGCUCACUGGCUCGAUACUGACGCUGAGGUGCGAAAGCGUGGGGAGCAAACAGAAUUAGAAACCCUAGUAGUCC
rnacentral:rRNA from 1 species